GGUUAAGCGACUAAGCGUACACGGUGGAUGCCCUGGCAGUCAGAGGCGAUGAAGGACGUGCUAAUCUGCGAUAAGCGUCGGUGAGGUGAUAUGAACCGUUAUAACCGGCGAUUUCCGAAUGGGGAAACCCAGUGUGUUUCGACACACUAUCAUUAACUGAAUCCAUAGGUUAAUGAGGCGAACCGGGGGAACUGAAACAUCUAAGUACCCCGAGGAAAAGAAAUCAACCGAGAUUCCCCCAGUAGCGGCGAGCGAACGGGGAGGAGCCCAGAGCCUGAAUCAGUGUGUGUGUUAGUGGAAGCGUCUGGAAAGGCGUGCGAUACAGGGUGACAGCCCCGUACACAAAAAUGCACAUAUUGUGAGCUCGAUGAGUAGGGCGGGACACGUGGUAUCCUGUCUGAAUAUGGGGGGACCAUCCUCCAAGGCUAAAUACUCCUGACUGACCGAUAGUGAACCAGUACCGUGAGGGAAAGGCGAAAAGAACCCCGGCGAGGGGAGUGAAAAAGAACCUGAAACCGUGUACGUACAAGCAGUGGGAGCCUCUUAAUGGGGUGACUGCGUACCUUUUGUAUAAUGGGUCAGCGACUUAUAUUCUGUAGCAAGGUUAACCGAAUAGGGGAGCCGAAGGGAAACCGAGUCUUAACUGGGCGUUAAGUUGCAGGGUAUAGACCCGAAACCCGGUGAUCUAGCCAUGGGCAGGUUGAAGGUUGGGUAACACUAACUGGAGGACCGAACCGACUAAUGUUGAAAAAUUAGCGGAUGAC
rnacentral:rRNA from 1 species